rnacentral:rRNA from 1 species
UCGGGAAUUUUGGGCAAUGGGCGAAAGCCUGACCCAGCAACGCCGCGUGAAGGAUGAAGUAUUUCGGUAUGUAAACUUCGAAAGAAUAGGAAGAAUAAAUGACGGUACUAUUUAUAAGGUCCGGCUAACUACGCGCCAGCAGCCGCGGUAAUACGAAGGGGGCUAGCGUUGUUCGGAAUUACUGGGCGUAAAGCGCACGUAGGCGGAUUGUUAAGUCAGAGGUGAAAUCCCGGAGCUCAACUUCGGAACUGCCUUUGAUACUGGCAAUCUAGAGUCCGGAAGAGGUUAGUGGAAUUCCCAGUGUAGAGGUGAAAUUCGUAGAUAUUGGGAAGAACACCAGUGGCGAAGGCGGCUAACUGGUCCGGUACUGACGCUGAGGUGCGAAAGCGUGGGGAGCAAACAGGAUUAGAUACCCUUGUAGUCCCUGAGCGGGCUGGCAAGGCGCAU